rnacentral:rRNA from 1 species
GAUGAACGCUAGCGGCAGGCCUAACACAUGCAAGUCGAGGGGUAACUAGAGUGAUAGCAAUAUUACUUUGGCUAGACCGGCGCACGGGUGCGUAACACGUAUGCAACCUACCUUAUACUGGGGAAUAACUUCGAGAAAUCGGCGCUAAUACCCCAUAACAUUGCGAAGAGGCAUCUCUUUGCAAUUAAAGCUCCGGCGGUAUAAGAUGGGCAUGCGUCCAAUUAGCUAGUUGGUGAGGUAACGGCUCACCAAGGCUACGAUUGGUAGGGGUUCUGAGAGGAUGAUCCCCCACACUGGUACUGGGACACGGACCAGACUCGUACGGGAGGCAGCAGUGAGGAAUAUUGCGCAAUGGACGAAAGUCUGACGCAGCCAUGCCGCGUGCAGGAUGACGGCCCUAUGGGUUGUAAACUGCUUUUGUACGGGAAUAAACCCUUCUACGUGUAGGAGGCUGAAGGUACCGUAAGAAUAAGCACCGGCUAACUCCGUGCCAGCCGCCGCCGUAUAC